GGCUCAGUGUGGUAGAGCAUGGUGUUUGCAACGCCGGGGUUGUGGGUUCGAUUCCCAC
rnacentral:tRNA from 1 species